CUCCCUUUCCUCUCUCUCUCUACCCGAGAGCUUCUCUCUCUACCUCUCGCCGGAAAUCGCCCCACCACCGGACGCCGCCGCACCGCCGCCACGUCGCCGGAACCCCAUCCUUUACCAAAAUUUCCAGAUUUUCUUCUCUUCCUUCCCUCUUUCCAUUUCUCCAACCAAAAUCAAGAAAUUUGGCCAUCCAACCCUCCAAAAACCUUAGAACCCGAAUCUAAAUUGGGGCUUUUUGUGAUUUCUUCUUUCCAAGUUCAAAUCAAGGUAUUAUCCAUCCUAAUCAAGCCUCUAUUCCUUCGAUCUAUACAUCUUUCUUAUCAAAUUCGAUUUUUUUGAUUUCUAUUUUUGAUUUUUGGUGCAUGAACCCGAUUUUCCCUAAACCAAGAGGCUAGGCUAUGGGUUUGGCAAGGAUUUGUGGUGAAGAAGGUCAAUGAGGAGGAUUAGGCCAUGAGUUUUGAAGAAGAAAGGGAAACACGAUCGUUAAGGAAGCUUAAGCGGAAAGCGUCAGAGCGUGGAAUACGCCGGCAUAUCCAGUGUGCAGGUUUCGAGCAUGUGGUCGGGAAGCGUACAGGGGAGGCACAUGGCACGGCUUGGCGCAUUUCUCUUUAGUUUUAUCAAAAGAAGGUUUUGGUCCUUAAUCGGAUUUUGUAGUAGCUUGUUUAUUUACUUUUUAUUUAUUUCCUACUCGUUUACAAAAAUUCCGGGAGACCCGUAACCCUGGGGCGCAUCUCCCAUACUUGUAGUUACUUAGUGAUCUGUUUUAUUUUCCAAAUUGGGCUCCGAUCGCAAGCCCAAAACUCUUAGCCCAUUUCGAAUUCCGCUUUUGAAAAUGUGUUGUUAGGUUGCUAGAAUGAUUUGUCAAAGAAAGUGUUUUGUAAACCAACAACCUAAACUGAAAAAGCCUUGCGGUUUCGGGUUGAUGAGCUAUCGAGAUGCCAUUCGUGACAUGUCGAUUCCUCAUUGGCUCGGAGUCACGACACUGUGGGACCCCCUCUCGGGUCACCACAUACUCAUCAAUAUCAAAUGAGUCCUCCAUGCUAGUGACUUUUGAAUGAAACUUUUCUGGCAAGGCCCUGAGGAUCUUUUUUGCAAUCUUAUCUUCAUCAAAAGGUGCUCCCAGACUACGACACUGACCGGAAAUUUUAAGAAUUCUACCAUGGAAGUCAUCAAC